UACGGAGGGUGCGAGCGUUAAUCGGAAUUACUGGGCGUAAAGCGCGCGUAGGCGGUUCGAUAAGUCAGAUGUGAAAUCCCCGGGCUCAACCUGGGAAUGGCAUUUGAUACUGUCAGACUGGAGUGUGGAAGAGGGGAGUGGAAUUCCGCAUGUAGCGGUGAAAUGCGUAGAUAUUAGGAGGAACACCAGUGGCGAAAGCGGCUUACUGGUCCAACUCUGACGCUGAGGUGCGAAAGCGUGGGGAGCAAACAGG
rnacentral:rRNA from 1 species